rnacentral:rRNA from 1 species
UGGGGAAUAUUGCACAAUGGGCGCAAGCCUGAUGCAGCCAUGCCGCGUGUAUGAAGAAGGCCUUCGGGUUGUAAAGUACUUUCAGCGAGGAGGAAGGCAUUAAGGUUAAUAACCUUAGUGAUUGACGUUACUCGCAGAAGAAGCACCGGCUAACUCCGUGCCAGCAGCCGCGGUAAUACGGAGGGUGCAAGCGUUAAUCGGAAUUACUGGGCGUAAAGCGCACGCAGGCGGUCUGUUAAGUCAGAUGUGAAAUCCCCGGGCUCAACCUGGGAGCUGCAUUUGAAACUGGCAGGCUUGAGUCUUGUAGAGGGGGUAGAAUUCCAGGUGUAGCGGUGAAAUGCGUAGAGAUCUGGAGGAAUACCGGUGGCGAAGGCGGCCCCCUGGACAAAGACUGACGCU